rnacentral:rRNA from 2 species
GCAUAUCAAUAAGCGGAGGAAAAGAAACUAACAAGGAUUCCCCUAGUAACUGCGAGUGAAGCGGGAAAAGCUCAAAUUUAAAAUCUGGUGGUCUUUGGCCAUCCGAGUUGUAAUCUAGAGAAGUGUUAUCCGCGCUGGACCGUGUACAAGUCCCCUGGAAUGGGGCGUCAUAGAGGGUGAGAAUCCCGUCUUUGACACGGACUACCAGGGCUUUGUGAUGCACUCUCAAAGAGUCGAGUUGUUUGGGAAUGCAGCUCAAAAUGGGUGGUAAAUUCCAUCUAAAGCUAAAUAUUGGCGAGAGACCGAUAGCGAACAAGUACCGUGAGGGAAAGAUGAAAAGAACUUUGGAAAGAGAGUUAAACAGUACGUGAAAUUGUUGAAAGGGAAACGCUUGAAGUCAGUCGCGUCUGCCAGGGAUCAACCUUACUUUUGUGAGGCGUACUUCCUGGUUGAUGGGUCAGCAUCAGUUUUGGUCGCUGGAUAAAGGUCAGAGAAAUGUGGCACCUUCGGGUGUGUUAUAGUCUUUGAUCAGAUACAGUGGCUGGGACUGAGGAACUCAGCGCCGCAAGGCUGUCUUAGGAUGCUGGCAAAAUGGCUUUAAUCGACCCGUCUUGAAACACGGACC